rnacentral:rRNA from 1 species
CCUACGGGCGGCUGCAGUGGGGAAUAUUGCGCAAUGGGGGCAACCCUGACGCAGCAACGCCGCGUGAAUGAUGAAGGUCUUCGGAUCGUAAAGUUCUGUCGAAGGGGAAGAAGAAAUGACGGUACCCUUAGAGGAAGCCCCGGCUAACUACGUGCCAGCAGCCGCGGUAAUACGUAGGGGGCAAGCGUUGUCCGGAUUUACUGGGCGUAAAGGGCGUGUAGGCGGUUUUUUAAGUCAGGUGUGAAAGUUCGGGGCUUAACCCCGGAAUUGCAUUUGAAACUGGAGAACUUGAGUACUGGAGAGGUAAGUGGAAUUCCUAGUGUAGCGGUGAAAUGCGUAGAUAUUAGGAGGAACACCAGUGGCGAAGGCGACUUACUGGACAGAUACUGACGCUGAGGCGCGAAAGCGUGGGGAGCGAACAGGAUUAGAUACCCUUGUAGUCUA